GACGAACGCUGGCGGCGUGCUUAACACAUGCAAGUCGAACGAUGAAGCCGGAGCUUGCUCUGGUGAAUUAGUGGCGAACGGGUGAGUAACACGUGAGUAACCUGCCCUUGACCCUGGGAUAACUGCGGGAAACUGUAGCUAAUACCGGAUACGACCCUCGGAGGCAUCUCCUGGGGGUGGAAAGAAUUUCGGUCAAGGAUGGACUCGCGGCCUAUCAGCUAGUUGGUGCGGUAAGGGCUCACCAAGGCGACGACGGGUAGCCGGCCUGAGAGGGUGACCGGCCACACUGGGACUGAGACACGGCCCAGACUCCGACGGGAGGCAGCAGUGGGGAAUAUUGCACAAUGGGCGCAAGCCUGAUGCAGCAAAGCCGCGUGAGGGAUGACGGCCUUCGGGUUGUAAACCUCUUUUAGCAGGGAAGAAGCGAAAGUGACGGUACCUGCAGAAAAAGCACCGGCUAACUACGUGCCAGCCGCCGCAGUAA
rnacentral:rRNA from 1 species